rnacentral:rRNA from 1 species
UACGGAGGAUCCAAGCGUUAUCCGGAUUUAUUGGGUUUAAAGGGUGCGUAGGCGGCCCGGUAAGUUAGAGGUGAAAGCCCGUGGCUCAACCACGGAAUUUCCUCUGAUACUGUCGGGCUAGAGAAUAGUUGCUGUGGGCGGAAUGUGUAGUGUAGCGGUGAAAUGCUUAGAGAUUACACAGAACACCGAUUGCGAAGGCAGCUCACAAAGCUAUUUCUGACGCUGAGGCGCGAAAGCGUGGGGAGCAAACAGGAUUAGAUACCCUG